GACGAACCUUGCUAACGUUAUUCGGAAUUACUGGGCGUAAAGUGUGCGCAGGCGGCAGAGCAAGUCGAGUGUGAAAGCCCCGGGCUUAACUUGGGAAUUGCGCUCGAAACUACUUUGCUGGAGUGUGGCAGAGGAAGGUGGAAUUCCACGUGUAGCGGUGAAAUGCGUAGAGAUGUGGAGGAACACCAAUGGCGAAGGCAGCCUUCUGGGCCAACACUGACGCUCAUGCACGAAAGCGUGGGGAGCAAACAGG
rnacentral:rRNA from 1 species